rnacentral:rRNA from 1 species
CAGUGCCGCGGGAAUACGAAGGGUGCAAGCGUUGUCCGGAAUUAUUGGGCGUAAAGAGCUCGUAGGCGGUUUGUCGCGUCUGCUGUGAAAUCUGGGGGCUCAACCCCCAGCCUGCAGUGGGUACGGGCAGACUAGAGUGCGGUAGGGGAGAUUGGAAUUCCUGGUGUAGCGGUGGAAUGCGCAGAUAUCAGGAGGAACACCGAUGGCGAAGGCAGAUCUCUGGGCCGUAACUGACGCUGAGGAGCGAAAGCAUGGGGAGCGAACAGGAUUAGAUACCCCAGUAGUCCCUGUCUCUUAUACA